AUGGCCAGAAUUGGUGUCCUCUCCUCUGUCGCUCUUGCCGGCCUAGCCAAGCUGGACAUGGAUGUGUGGGUGUGCAUGCUCACUGUGAAGUUCGUUCUGGGCGACCUCUUCAGUUCGAUGUGUGUGCUCAUGUGUGGGUCGCCAUCUCUCGAUCCUGCCAAGCUACACCAGCACUUGUUUCCUCUCCCUGCUGCAAUCAGUGUUGUGAGCGACAGACAAGAUGUUGGCAUGGAGCUGGCGACUGGAUAUGGGAAGGGAGCUGCUACUGUAUUUGGUCUGCUCGACAGCUGCCAUUGUGCGUGUACUUGGACGGCUGCAGAUAGUGCAACCGAACGUCUGUGUGUGUUUUUGGCAUCCCAUUUUUACAGUUGA
rnacentral:rRNA from 1 species